GUAGGGAAUUUUGCGCAAUGGGCGAAAGCCUGACGCAGCAACGCCGCGUGAUCGAGACGCCCUUCGGGGUGUAAAGAUCUGUCAGUGGGGACGAAAAAUGACGGUACCCACAGAGGAAGCACCGGCUAACUCCGUGCCAGCAGCCGCGGUAAUACGGGGGGUGCAAGCGUUGUCCGGAAUCAUUGGGCGUAAAGAGUUCGUAGGCGGCACGUAAAGUCUGGUGUUAAAUGCAGAGGCUCAACUUCUGUACGGCACUGGAUACUUGCGAGCUAGAAUGCGGUAGAGGUAAAGGGAAUUCCUGGUGUAGCGGUGAAAUGCUUAGAUAUCAGGAGGAACAUCGGUGGCGUAAGCGCUUUACUGGGCCGUAAUUGACGCUGAGGAACGAAAGCCAGGGUAGCAAAUGGG
rnacentral:rRNA from 1 species